rnacentral:rRNA from 1 species
GCUAUCGGCGAAUGAUGGGCCUGCGCGUCAUUAGCUUGUUGGUGAGGUAACGGCUCACCAAGGCUGCGAUGACUAGCUGGUCUGAGAGGAUGAUCAGCCACACUGGCACUGGAACACGGGCCAGACUCCUACGGGAGGCAGCAGUGGGGAAUAUUGCGCAAUGGGCGAAAGCCUGACGCAGCAACGCCGCGUGAGUGACGAAGGCCUUCGGGUCGUACAGCUCUGUCGAGAGGGACGAAACACCGGUGGGAACAAUACCUCGCCGGUUUGACGGUACCUCCAAAGGAAGCACCGGCUAACUCCGUGCCAGCAGCCGCGGUAAUACGGAGGGUGCAAGCGUCGUUCGGAAUUACUGGGCGUAAAGGGCGUGUAGGCGGAUCAAGAAGUCGGGUGUGAAAGCCCUGGGCUCAACCCAGGAAGUGCGCCCGAAACCAUUGGUCUUGAGUUCCAGAGGGGAGCGGGGAAUUCCCAGUGUAGAGGUGAAAUUCGUAGAUAUUGGGAAGAACACCGGUGCCGAAGGGGCCGCUCUGGAUGGAUACUGACGCUGAGGCGCGAAAGCGUGGGGAGCAAAAAGGAUUAGAUAACCUGGUAGUACACGCUAGUAACGCAGUGCACUAGGUGUCGGGGGUAUUGACCCCCCCGGUGCCGCCGCUAACGCAUUAAGUGCACCGCCUGGGAAGUACGGCCGCAAGGCUGAUACUCAAAGGAAUUGACGGGGGCCCGCACAAGCGGUGGAGUAUGUGGUUCAAUUCGACGCAACGCGCAGAACCUUACCUGGGCUUGACAUCUGGGGAAGUCCCUAGAGAUAGGGAUGUGCCCUUCGGGGAACCCCAUGACAGGUGCUGCAUAGCUGUCGUCAGCUCGUGUCGUGAGAUGUUGGGUUAAGUCCCGCAACGAGCGCAACCCCUGUUCUUAGUUGC